AGAAAGACCUACUUCUACUCGAUCUUAAGCUUAGAAAUACAGUUUAGAAUUUCAAAGCCCUUUAGGAAAGACAAUAGAGAUAGCAUUUGUAAAUUAACUGAAAAGAACCUUGAAUUAGAGCUUUUACGAACCUCAAGCUCAUGUGUGAAAAUAGAAGGAAAUAAUUGCUUUGGACAAGGGACAUCUUGAGCAGUCAUCCGGCCCAUCCCUUCGGAUUAUGCAAGCCAGACAGUAAGAGGAUACGAUCAAUGAGGACACCUGCUAAUGACUUCAAGGCAAGGACAGUGCUUGACAUAAAAUAUGACUCAACAAAUGUUUGUGGAGGGAAUGAAUUAACGGGAAUCUCCUAGAUGCUGCAUAGAGACGCAAGGAUAAAACUUCUGAUAAAUGCUGAAGCACGAGUAGAUGUAAUCUACUGUAGACUUGCCAUUACAGAGAUUUAUGCCUAAAUAGGGCCAUGUCAACUCAUCUAUUCCCAUCAGAGGAUGGUCCAAAGGACCUGGACCGUAUGGAUAUUCCGCAGAAAAUCAUAUUGGUCCAAUAUAUUGAUGAUGUCAUAUUAAUUAGAAAGAAUGAUCAAGAAGUAGCAAGUACGUUGGAGAUCUUGGUGAGACACGUGCAUUCCAGGGGUUGGAGAGAAACCCAAAGAAGACUUGGGGAUCUGCCAUAUCAGUGAAGAUUUUUGAGAUGCAGUGAUCCACGACAUGUCAGAACUUCCCAUCUAAUGUAAGGAGCAAAUUAUUGCAUCUCACCCCUGUCACCACUAAGAAGAAAGAAAAAUGCAUAGUAGGCCUUUUUGGGUUAUGGAGAUAGCAUAUUCUACAUUUAGGGAUACUGCUCUGAUUCAAAUAUUGAAUACACAAAAGGUUAACAGCUUUGAGUAAAUUCAGAGCAGGAAAUGGUUCCAUAGAAGAUACAGAUUAUGAUGCAAGUGGACCUGGUCAUUUGGCCACAUGAUACGGCAGACCCUAUCGUAUGAGAGGUAUCUGGAGGACAGAGAUGCUGUAUGGAUUUUAUGGUAAGCCCCGAUGGGACUGUUACAACAUGGAUCCUUAAGGUUCUGAAGCAAAACCAUGACAUUUGCAAAUGAGAAUUACGUGGCUCUUGGAUACUAGCUCCUGGCUUGCUACUAGGCCAUUGGAGAUACCUGGACAUGGUAUAUCAGGUGGCCAUGUGGCCAGAGCUACCCAUGACAAACUGGAAUCUUCUAGACUCACAAAGUCGUAAGAUUGGGUAGGUCCAACAGCAAUCCAUCAUUAGAUGAAAGUGGCACAUCCAGGGUUGUGAUGAGCAUGGCAAGAAGGCAUAAGAAAACUCAUAGGCAGGUGGCUCAGACCCCCAUGGCGUCCAACACUAUUGUAUAAGCAUUUCUUCCUCAGCUCACACCUAUCUAUGGUCAUAUGGUGAGAGGAGACAGGUCCCUUACAGCUUGAUGAGGGAGGAAGGAAAGUACUGAAGUAGGUUCAUGGAUGGAUUAGCUCAAACUGUGCAGGCCAGAAGUAAAUUACAAUUUCUUUACCACCUCACUAAUGGGUAGUACUGAGAGAGUGGUGGUGGAAUAUUCUCUUAACGAGAAGAUCUUUAGGUAAUAAACCUGAUCAUCAUGGUCACUGGAUCACCUACUUUGUAUGGAAAAAUUAGUGGUCCAAGUUGAAAUGUAUACAGUCUUGUAACCGAUUUGAUUGGUUAUUCUGGAACCUGACAGAGAAAGAUUGGCAGGUCAGGGACAGGAAGGUUUAGGAAAAAGAAAUAUGGAUGGCUUAAUGUGAGUGGCGGUGAAAUAUGAAAGUAUCACAUAAUGUCACUCACAAGACAACAUCUGCCAGAGAAAAGGCCCGAAACAACAAAGUAGAAAGAAUGACUCAGUCAGUUAACAUCACCCUUCUUGUCAUUGGCAGCUUCAGUUCUUAAAUGCAUGAACAAUAUAUGUGUGAAUGGAAUAGCCUGAUAAGAGGAAUAGAGAUUCUGCAUGAGACCAAAAACAUGAGCUCUCCCUCACUGUACCUAAUCUAGCUACUGCCACUGCCAAAUGUCCAAACUGUCCUCAGUGGAGACCAACAUCAAGUUUUCUAUAUGGUACCAUAUUUCAAGGAGAAAAAUUUUGGUGGAAAGUUAAUGAUAUUGGACCCCUUCUACCUUGAAAGGGGCAGCAAAUAAUCUUGAGAAGAAUCAACAUAUAUUCUAAGUAUGGAUUUGCCUUUUUUGCCUGAUGGCCUCAACCAGCACCAUUAGCUGAGGGGUACUGUGUUUCAUCACUAACAUGGGAUCCUACACAACGUCAUAUUGGACUAAGGGAUAUUCUACAGCGAACAGAAGUAUGGCACUGGGCACAUGACCAUGGGAUUCAUUGGCAGUAUCACAUACUGCACCACCCAGUUGGCUUGAUAGAAUGAUGGAAGAGUGUAGUUAAGGGACCAGCUUGGAGAUGAUACAAUAUGAAGAUAGGGCACCAUCCUCCAUGAUGCAGUAUAUAACCUAAAUCAAUGAUCAUUACAUGGUGCUCUGUCUUCAAUAUGUAGAAUACCUGAGUCCAAGAAUAGGAGUGUCCCACCAUGACUCCUAGUGACCUGGGGAAUGUGUGCUUUCCAUAUCUGCAGGUUUAGAGGCCCUGAUUCUUGAAGGGAAGUGCUUUGACUAGAGAAUAUUAUACUAAACUUUAAGUUGUAGAUGCUGCCUAGUCGCUUUGGACUUUUCAUGUCAAGAGACCAGCAGCAAGGAAAGAGGUGACUGUGCUAGCAGGGAUAAUCAAGCCUGAUGGUCAGAAGGAGGGAGAGUUGCCAUCACACAACAGGGAAGAAUAUGUUUGGUGCUCAUGUGAUCCACCCGGGUGUCUCUUGACACUUCCUUGCCAUUUUUGUUGGUAAAUGGAGAAGUGAAGCGGCCCGGAUUGAGGAAGUCAUGGUGACCAUGAAAUCAGACCUCUAAGAGAUAAGAGUCUGGGUCAUCCCCACAGGUGAAGUCACAUACACCAGCAUAUGUACUAACCAGGAGAAUUUAAAAUAGGUGAUAGAGGUGGGAGAUUAUGAAUAUCAGUUGCAGCUUCAAUCCUAGUUAUAGCAGUAGCAGCUGUGGUUCAUCCUGC